UACGGAGGGGGCUAGCGUUGUUCGGAAUUACUGGGCGUAAAGCGCACGUAGGCGGCUUUGUAAGUUAGAGGUGAAAGCCCGGGGCUCAACUCCGGAAUUGCCUUUAAGACUGCAUCGCUAGAAUUGUGGAGAGGUAAGUGGAAUUCCGAGUGUAGAGGUGAAAUUCGUCGAUAUUCGGAAGAACACCAGUGGCGAAGGCGACUUACUGGACACAUAUUGACGCUGAGGUGCGAAAGCGUGGGGAGCAAACAGG
rnacentral:rRNA from 1 species